GUCGGUCUGUUUUGUGUCUUACUGGGUGUAGCCCCUUGCUGCUGACCCAGUUUUUUUUCCCUAUCUGCCCUUGUUUGUGGUGUCACCUGGUAAUGCAUUGUUGCUGCUUUGUCUGAUAUUGUU